CUUCAAGUACUUGGGAAGUUUAUAAUCCCUCUUGGGAAGUUAACAUCACUGGCCGUAUAUAGGGAAACCUAUUUAAAGUUUGAGAUGGUUAUGGUGCUGGAGCUGACUGAACUCCAAGGUUCUUCUCUCUGAAGUAAGGAUUGUGAGCCCUAUUACUCCUGACAGUCUCGGAGAGCAACAAAGAGGACAUACCAGCUGUGUCCUGUUUUCUGUUCAUGGCAGUGCAUUUGGCCAGAAGCCCACGGAUGCUGGAGCCAUUGAACUCUACCAGCAACCAGACUCACACAAAAAAGCGAUCCAUCUUUUGGAAAUCUAUUUUUAACAUGGAGGGAAAACUGAAGGCCACCGGCGGCUAAACUUCACGUAUAAGAUGGGGAGGCAGUAAGGCAUUUGUGGGAGGCUGUUGCCUACAACUGAAGUAGAUUGGCCUGUUUCCACGACACCCAUGCAAAACUUACUGAAAUUAAUAUGAGUCAUUGAAUGGAUUUCAGAGCAUUUUUAAGUGAGAUCUAAAGGCGCAGCAAUGGAACUGAGUGCAAUGGACUGAAAAACUGAGGCGGUAGUGAGCAAUUGCCACUGUGUAACAUUUACAACCGUUACGUUGAACAAUGGGAUCAAAAUACACACACACCAAGCAGUC